CAGCGUGGCAGCAAUGGAAGAGGAGAGGAACCUUCAGCAGAUGCAGGCCGGAGAACCCAGCCGCCUCCGUGGAGAUCAAGCCGAGGAACCCUGAAGAUGAAGCUCCACACUCCUGCUGCACAGCGCUCCAUGUUUGAAGGGAAAUAUUUUUAUUCAAACCAAAUAAAAGAUGUUUUUUAAUCUCUA